rnacentral:lncRNA from 1 species
AAACAAUCUGUAGAAUACUCAGCCAGGUGCCUGAAUCUGACUACCAAUUUUGUAGAUUUAGGGGAGCUUUAGUAGAUCCUCAGAUCCCUUUACAUAUAUUGAUUUUAUUCCUCUCAGAUUCUGUACAACUUCUCCAUAAGAGUGUCCUUCAUUUGAAGAGAACAGCUGCUAGCAAGAUUUUUUCCUGUACCAGCCUCAAAGGCCCCACGUUGUGCUGAUCAACAAGUUAUCUGCUGUGCUUGGAAGUGGAACUGUGAAACGGUGCAUUCAAAGAAAAUGGAAUUAUGCAAAGGAGAGAAAAAAAAAAAAGGAAAUAAAGAUUUUUUAAAGGCC